rnacentral:tRNA from 1 species
UCCCUGGUGGUCCACUGGCUAAGACUCUGCGCUCCCAAUGCAGGGGCCCAUGUUCAAUCCCUGCUCAGGGAA